UUAAAAAAUACAUGCUUUAGGUUGGCAAUCAUUUUAACAGUUAUUUCAUGUGCUUGACUUACAGUAACAUAAAAGCACAUCUGACAUGGAGGCUUUCUUGCAGAAGAAGUUUCAGCCAACUGUAACUUACAGAUUGCUAAUAAUACACGAUGGCUGCAGUAAGGGCUUUGGCACGGUGCAGCUCUGACCCCCCUGCUCUGCCUGCACAGGCACGAGCUGAGCUUCAGCUGUGAAACUCUUCCUGCUCCAUGGGGGAUGCACUCUGGCCUCCUCCUGAAGGGUGCAAUCACCUCCUGAUGGGUCAUCAUCCCUCAUACUUCUACUUUCAGGCUCUUUUAAGAUCUUAAGUCAUACUCCUCUAUGCCCUCUGUCUCUUUGAAUCUAUUGCUGAUUCACAAACCCUCCUUAAUGCUCAGUUCUUCAUUUUGCAGGGGUUUUUUUGGCAUGGUAUGUUAUCUGCAGUACAUCAAGCUAUUUGCUGGCAGAAAAGCACCUUGGAUAUCUGGUUAAUGUCUUUUUUUAAUUAUUAUUAUUUUUUAAAUUUUUUUUUCUUUUUUUUCCUGCAGAAAUUUUAAUUCAUCUUUGUGAAACACUAAAUUGCACGAGCUCUUCCCAGGACAGCUGGGCAUGGAGCAGAACAGGGAGCAAACCCAUCACUCCAAGCAGACUUCUAAGAAAGGACUGAAGGGAUGGAAAAUGUGCAAGGGAAUGCGUGAGGUGCUGGAUGGUGAAUUCCCACCACUGGAGUACAGAGAAGAUCAUGACUGAAUCACACAUGGAGCAAGUUUAUUCUCAGUCAUCAGAAUGGCAGAGUGGGAGAGAAGCAAGUGGCUGAAUUCCAAGAAAGCCAUGGAGGGCAAGAGAAGGUUCAAACGACUUGUUUUUAAGUCAUCCUGGAUCCAGAAGAUGAUGUGGGGUUACCACAGCUACAGCUACACCAGAAAGACAAGGCCACAUGCUGGAAUGGAAUUACUGGCAAGCAUGUCACUAAUUACCUGGGGAGUCACAGGGCCUUCUGCAAAACAGACUGGAGAGACACUCCAAGUCCAAAUGGUAGCACGCUGCAGGCUCUGGAAUGACCUUCCUUUUCAUCCAGUCAGUUUCAACACUGAAUGGGCUCAGAAUAUAAAGAAUAUGGGCCUUGUACUGCACAGCAUUGCAUACUGUCAAGACAGGUUCAGAUAAAAUCCACCCACAAAUACGUUGAACUAGAAGCCAGCAAGUGCUUUAUAGACUGUCUUCCAG
rnacentral:lncRNA from 1 species